rnacentral:lncRNA from 1 species
GGUUUGACACAGAUGAAUGUGUAACUUCUAUUAAUAAUAAAAGGAAUACACAUACAUUUACAUAUUGCUAUAUUAAACUGAAAGUACAGUUAAAAUAAAAAAUGAUUAGAGUUAUCUCCCCUUGCAUAUUUUAAGGAAGUAUAUGGAAACAAAAUAAAGUAACUACAUCUAUAUCAAGUAAGUUAAUUAUCUCCCUUUAAAUAUUUCAGAUCACGAAUAUCUUCCUUUAUGCACAUUCUAUGGUCAUGUACUUCAACUGUGUAAAGUUUCAUUAAUAUUGCUACAGUCAUUUAGGAGGAGUUGUGCUUACAAGACCUAAUGCCACAUAUUGUGAUAUUUAAACUUAAUAAUUUCAAUUAUCUCCCUUGAAAAAAACAUCUGAUAAGAAAUAUCCUCCUUCCUCAUGUCUAAAGAUGUAUACAACAUCUGUGUAAAGCUUCAUCAACAUUGAUUAAUCCAUUUAGAAGAAGGUGUGCUUACAAGACUUGUUGCCAUUUAUUGCUAUAUUUAACAAAGUCAAUUCAAUUAUCUCCCUUGAAAUAAUUUCGACGAGAAAUAUUUUCCUUCAUGAACAUCCUCAGGUUGUGUACUACAAUCGUAUCAAGUUUUAUCAAUAUUGGUCCAUCCAUUAGGAAGAUGUUGUGCAUGUAUACGAGACUUAUCAGAUGUAUACACCCCCCCCAAAAAAAAAAAAAAAACGAAUUCUGAACAAGAGUGGACACACUGAAAUGUCUCGCCUGUUCUAGUGUUCAUAAUAUAAUUUAUGUUGAAAGUAUAAAAAAGCAUUGUAUACCACAAGCAUUAAUUAACUGUACUUGAGAUGAAGGCGACACAAAAAUCACAUCAUGAGGAAGAUGUGUACUAAGUUUCAAAUUGAUGUGCCUCUAACUUCAUCAAAAACCACCUUGACCAAAAACUUAAACUUGAUGUGGGAUGGAAAAUCAAAC